GCAUUGGUGGUUCAAUGGUAGAAUUCUUGCCUACCAUGCAGGAGACUCUCGUUUGAUUUCCGGCCAACGCA
rnacentral:tRNA from 1 species